GGAUUCAGGAUGGCUGGCGUGCUCUCGCGCGUCGGUCGUUUGAUAUUUCCGUCGCCAACUAACCGCAGACGUCGCGACCUGUUCGCGGUCGGUCCCUGCUCGGAGGAGCCGCGUUCGAGCUCGUUGUGUGCGCGUUUCGGCGUGUCACACGGCGAAGGCGCGGAUCUCUGGCUGGCCGUCGGACAGUAUGCUUAACGGUGUCCGGUGUCGUCGUCUCGUACGCGCGGCAUCGGUACCGGUCAGCGACGAAUUCUUCGGGCCUCUUUCCGACCCGUCUUGAAACACGGACCAAGGAGUCUAACAUGCGCGCGAGUCGCGGGGUAUCGAGCGUACUUCGGUGCGUUCGUUAUGUUGCGAAACCCGUACAUGUUGAAGGCGUAAUGAAAGUGAAUGGGGAAGAUGGUGUUCCGAGUACACGUUCCGCGAUCGUCGGUAUCGCGGCCGGGCACCCGCAUUCCCAGGGCGUCUCAACGGCCCGUCGUUGAUGCGGACAGUCGUCUCUCGGGGCGGCUGUCGGUCGGCGACGAACCGA
rnacentral:rRNA from 1 species